GAGACAGGUGUCGAUGAAUUCAUUAUACGAUUAGAAGACAUUGGCCAGACUGGUAGUAAUUUGAGACUUCUAAAAUCCGUCACCAUAUCACAGAAUGAAUACGUCUUUGACAAUUUAAAGCCAGGUCGAUAUAGAAUUUCAGUUGAACCAACCAAUUGCAACUUCUGUGGUAGAUCUGUAACAGGUCCCCUUAUAAUAGAAAGCAAGCUUAGAAAUGUCGAUCUUGAAAUGCAUGUCAAAUACGAAAACCACUCAGAUUCUGCCAUUAGGACUGGUGCAAUUGAAGAAGCUGUGGGUAAGAUAAUUAGUAACAUCAAGCUAAAAAAGAUAGGUUUCGAAAAAGAAAGAAUAAUGACCAUACCAAUGCAAACAAGAAAAAAGCAUCAUACCAAUGCAAAUAGUUAUCAAUGGUACCAGGAUUAUAAAUUAAUACGCCAGACGCGCGUUUCGUCU